GACGAACGCUGGCGGCGUGCCUAAUACAUGCAAGUCGAACGCAUUGGGGACGGGUGAGUAACACGUUGGUAACCUCCCAUCAGAGGGGAUAACACUUGGAAACAGGUGCUAAACCGAUACUGAUGGAUGGACCCGGGGUGCAUUAGUUAGUUGGUGGGGUAACGGCUCACCAAGGCCACGAUGCAUAGCCGACCGGAGAGGGUGAUCGGCCAAACUGGGACUGAGAACCGGCCCGAAUUCCUACGGGAGGAAGAAGUAGGGAAUGUUCGGAAAUGGACGAAAGUCUGACCGAGCAAGGCCGCGUGAGUGAAGAAGGUUUUCGGAUCGUAAAACUCUGUUGUUAGAAAAGCGGUAUCUAACCAGAAAGCCACGGCUAACUACGUGCCAGCAGCCGCGGUAAUUC
rnacentral:rRNA from 1 species